rnacentral:lncRNA from 1 species
AGGUGAGGGGACAGGAGAAGGAAAAAUGUGGGAUCAUACAUUUUCCUUUCCUGGGCCACCAGGCUGAGAGGAUGGGAGGUGAGCACAGAAGGCACAGAAGAAAGCACACACUCGUGCUCUGUGGAUAUGCACUGCUCGCCAAUAGUCAGAGCAAUUUCCAUCAGCCUCCCAGCACCAGGCCGAGCAGGUGGAGAUGGCUGGUUGGGAGCAUCACACCUGGCCUUCCUGUGGCACCGAGGAUUCCGCACUCGGCAAAGAUGGCGUCUGGAAGAGGCAGGAGAAGGGAAGAGAUGGCACCUACACGGGGAUUAUGAUCACGGAGCGCCUCUGACCAGGUUCUCAAGGGAAGGACUCCCAGAGAAGAGACUCACUAGGAGAGAGACUUAAGACAGCUCUGAAGCAUGCACGGCCAAGGGACAUCUGGUACCUAAAGGCACACAGGGACUUACCUUGAAAAACCCUGGUGUCCAAAGACUGAAACACACCUGCAUUCCAAUCCUAGAUCCUCUCAUAAAGCACCGUCUCCUUGGCC